rnacentral:rRNA from 1 species
UAGGGAAUAUUGGGCAAUGGAGGGAACUCUGACCCAGCCAUGCCUCGUGCAGGAUGAAGGCGUUAUGCGUUGUAAACUGCUUUUUAUAUAGGAAGAAAUAGUCCUUGCGAGGAAAGUUGACGGUACUAUAUGAAUAAGCACCGGCUAACUCCGUGCCAGCAGCCGCGGUAAUACGGAGGGUGCAAGCGUUGUCCGGAUUUAUUGGGUUUAAAGGGUGCGUAGGCGGUUUAUUAAGUCAGUGGUGAAAGACGGUCGCUCAACGAUUGCAGUGCCAUUGAUACUGGUAGACUUGAGUAUGAUUGAGGUAGCUGGAAUGGAUAGUGUAGCGGUGAAAUGCAUAGAUAUUAUCCAGAACACCAAUUGCGUAGGCAAGUUACUAAGUCAUAACUGACGCUGAGGCACGAAAGUGUGGGUAUCAAACAGGAUUAGAUACCCAAGUAGUCCCUGAGCGGGCUGGCAAGGCGCAU